AGGAUACAUUAAUAAGUUCCUCUCCUGGAAUGCUUUCGUACCGCUGAGCAGGCUCACAUUCGGAGUGUACUUGAUCCAUGCUCCUUUUAUUAUCUUGUAUCUGCACAUCUCCAGAGAACGCAUCUUAUUCUCACACUUCACUUUGGUGUCGCUGUUCUUUGCAAUCUUGCUUUGGAGCUACUGCCUCACAUACCUAAUGUUUGUGCUGUGCGAGGCUCCAACAGCACAGCUAGACAAGCUAAUCUUCAUGGGCACCGGAAGGAAGGAGCGGCAACCGAAACUGCCUCUCCUGAAUGGCGCUCAGCACGACAAAACGUCCGUUGUCCCGACAGAAAGCGAACAAAAAGAUCUGGCUGCCAUUGACCCGGAAAGUGGCAACAAAAAUAACAAGAGCAGCAACAAUGGGCUUAUCAUUGUUGGCCAAACUGUUACAUGUCAUCUUUAAGAAUAUUGUGUGAACCCGCUUUAA